AACGAACGCUAGCGGCAUGCCUAACACAUGCAAGUCGAACGAGACCUUCGGGUCUAGUGGCGCACGGGUGCGUAACGCGUGGGAACCUGCCCUUAGGCUCGGAAUAACUCCCCGAAAGGGGUGCUAAUACCGGAUAAUGUCUUCGGACCAAAGAUUUAUCGCCUUUGGAUGGGCCCGCGUUGGAUUAGCUAGUUGGUAGGGUAAAAGCCUACCAAGGCGACGAUCCAUAGCUGGUCUGAGAGGAUGAUCAGCCACACUGGGACUGAGACACGGCCCAGACUCCUACGGGAGGCAGCAGUGGGGAAUAUUGGACAAUGGGCGAAAGCCUGAUCCAGCAAUGCCGCGUGAGUGAUGAAGGCCUUAGGGUUGUAAAGCUCUUUUACCCGGGAUGAUAAUGACAGUACCGGGAGAAUAAGCUCCGGCUAACUCCGUG
rnacentral:rRNA from 1 species